AAUCCGCCGGAAGGAGGGCGCAGCAUUGCCGGUCUUCUCAUUGCCUGGCUGCUAGAGGAAACCCGAAGUCGGGAUUCUUUCUUUCCUGCUCUGAGAGGGACCAGGUCCCUCCUCCGUAGCUUUUGUCUCUCUAUUGCCUGCGCCGUGUCCUGGACUGCUCACGGGAGUUCUGCAGGAGACGCCGGAAUAUCUGGAAGCUGAAAAAUGGAAAUAAAUGGAAAGACCAGAAUAUUGAAGAUCACUACAGAAAUCUAAGGGUCAGGCAUGGUGGCUCACACCUGUAAUCCCAGCACUUUGGGAAGCAGAGGCAGUUGGAUCACUUGAACCUGGGAGGCGUUCUGGAGGUCAGGAGUUCGAGACCAGCUUGGCCAACAUGGUGAAACCCUGUGUCUGCUAAAAAUACAAAAAUUAGCCGGGCCUCAUGGCACAUGCCUGUAAUCCCAGCUACUCUGGAGGCUGAAGCAGGAGAAUCGCUUGAACCUGGGAGGCGGAGGUUGCAGUGAGCCGAGAUCACGCCACUGCUUCUUGCUUUAAAAGAAGAGUAAAGACAAGAGUGUUGGACCAGUAUUGCAGUUCUGUAGUAUCAUUUCUUAUAAAAAACAAAACAACAAUAAUUUAUCAAAAUUGGCAUAUAAAGACUGACAACAUUCUAAUAAAGGCACAAAUUUCUUUUUAAAAAAAAAAAAAAAAAAA
rnacentral:lncRNA from 1 species